rnacentral:rRNA from 1 species
AUUGAACGCUGGCGGCAGGCCUAACACAUGCAAGUCGAACGAGUGGCGGACGGGUGAGUAAUGUCUGGGAAACUGCCUGAUGGAGGGGGAUAACUACUGGAAAAGGUAGCUAAUACCGCAUACCAUCAGAUGUGCCCAGAUGGGAUUAGCUAGUCGGUGGGGUAACGGCUCACCAAGGCGACGAUCCCGAGCUGGGCUGAGAGGAUGACCAGCAACACUGGAACUGAGACACGGUCCAGACUCCUACGGGAGGCAGCAGUGGGGAAUAUUGAACAAUGGGCGCAAGCCUGAUGCAGCAAGGCCGCGUGUAUGAAGAAGGCCUUCGGGUUGUAAAGUACUUUCAGCGGGGAGGCGUUACCCGCAGAAGAAGCACCGGCUAACUCCGUGCCAGCAGCCGCGGUAAUUC